GUUAUUAAAAUGCUACGAGGAUGCGUUUGGAAAGAUUACUAGGAAUAAAAGAUAUCCGAGAAUUUUAUUACUAUUCAUUCUAUUACUAAGAAUAUGGAAUUCCUAUGUUUGGUUCGCACGGUAAUAUUAAUUAGCCAUGUUAUUUAAUAUUACAAAAAAUAUACAAUUAAUUAAUUAAUUUAUUUAUUUAAUUUUAGAUAAUGUUACUAAAAGUUUCAACAUUUUUUUAGAAAAAAGGGAGAGAGAGUAUAAUUAAAAAAAUAGAAAGAAAAAUAUAGUCGAAAUUAGAGGAAGUAAGAGAGUUGAAAUUUUAGAAAGAGAGAGAGAAAGCUUAGUUUAGAGAGAGAAAAAAAGUUGAAUUUUAGAGAGAAAAAUAAGUUUAGAGAGAGAUAUAAGGUUAGAGUGUAACGAAAAAUAAUAUCAAUUAGCCGGCGGGUAGGAAGAAAGAAAGAGAUUAGACAUAUUAUGAUUAUCCCAAUCUAUUAAUAUAAAGAUACCCACCCUCCCUCAAGGGAAUGAGAUUAGUACUUUAGGGUGAAUCUUAUUCCCAAGUGAAUCCAAUAUUACCAACUAGAUUACUUAGUGCGUUUAGCCAAACACCGUCAUAUUUUUUUAUUCCCAUUAGAUUACUAGAAAUCUUUAAAAGAUAGCGCGAACCAAACGCGCCCUAAAGGUCACAUUUUUCAUCAAGAUU
rnacentral:lncRNA from 1 species